rnacentral:lncRNA from 1 species
GUGGAAUGCCUCUCCCAAAAGUAUUACCUUAGUAUCCAAGUAUUUUAUUUGUGGAUAAUAAAUAAAAUGCAUCACUGCUGAAAUGCUGUCACAUUGUACUUUCCAUUCGGUACUAAGUACACAGUUUUGUGCCUUCUCAAAUGAAAAUGAAGCUCUGAGCAAUCUUUCAUUUAUUUCUCCAAUCUGCUUAUAGUUCUUCAAGAAACCAUUUGAAUUUUCUGUCUGUAAUUCCCACUUAUCACAGUAGCUCAACCUAGUCCCAGGGACCAACAGAAAACUAGAUGAUCAGUCCGCCCCAACCAUCUUCCCAAAUAAAUUCAUAUUCAUCACCACUUGUUGGUGUGAGGCACUUACCAAGGUUGCCAGGCUGAAGACUUCUACGAUGGAAUGCAAGCUACCACAGGACUCUCCCCAGAGAAGCAAACAACAGUUUGUUCGCUAACUUGAUAGUCUUCCCUCCUUGUGAUCUUUUAAAUCCAGAAACAGGUAAGGUAUUUGACAAUCUUAGAAAAUGUUAAUUUGUGCAGAACCUAAGACUAUUUUACCAGCAGAUAUUCCAUAAUGACAACAGUAAGUGGCCCACUCCGGGCUCUACUCCUGCCUUUCCAAAUACCUCAGUGGCCUCCACUGGGGUCUCCCCUGAGGCCACAAUCAGCACCUUCUUACCCCCUUUAUCCACCCAGCCUCUUGCCAAGUUCAGGUCCAGUGAUUUCAUCUUACUUCCACUUUCUCGCUUCCAAACUUAACUUCCUUACUACUUCAUUCAGGUCUAAUGCCUUUCAAAUUUAAAGGCGAUUUUUAAAAACCUUAGUGUAGGAACUGUAUUUUUUUUUUCCCUCUAACUCAGCGAGUCUAGCAUAAUCAGUCAUGAGGAAGUGAUGGGACCAUUCUAAUGGGGACAUUUUAAUCCUCAGGAGUUUGGUUUAUGACUACUUCACCAACAUUUCAAGCAGAUAGCCAGGCACAGAUUUCUGGUUCACUCCACCAAACAUCCUACACUCAAUCUGCCUGACAGUUUACGUCUCUAUCAAUUUCUCAUCCGCAUACCAUUCCAUCUAGCAGACUUUCCUUCAAAAAAUGCUAUGUGCUUUCUCUUCUGGAUUACUUUGAGUCUUUCUAAACCAGGUCAAAAGUGGAGGGACACCUGGGUGGCUCUGCGGUUGAGUGUCUGCCUUCGGCCCAGGGCGUAAGCCUGGAGGCCCAGGAUCGAGUCCCACAUCGGGCUCCCUGCAUGGAGCCUGCUUCUCCCUUUGCCUGUGUCUCUGCCUCUCUCUUUGUGUCUCUCAUGAAUAAAUACAUAAAAUCUUAAAAAAAAAAAAAAAAGUGGAAGGUACAGGGUGAUCUUCCGGAUAUAGAAAGGAAACCUCAGAAACAUGUCUAAUCAUGUUUGUCUCAUUCUUUUAUUUCUGUGUAUUUUAUAACGACUAUAAUUCAAAACUAUAUAAAAUACUCAAAAUGCUGCAGGUAUGAACAAAAGUAUUUUACUAUGAGAUUCCAUGUCAAAAAUGUUUAGACUACUAGGCUAAAUGAUGACACUUUUAAUACACCUUUCUUGGUGCUCUAGGGACUAUUCUUACUAAAAUACUGUAUUCUAGCUGUUUGGCUAAGAAAAUAUUUUGUAUUCAUGCAGUAUAACAUAAUACUAUUAUUACUAAAAUCAGACCUCACUCUUAACUUUCCUAUGAUAUCUCUGAAUUAUAUUUCCUCACACAACUCUACUUUUUUUUUUUUUUAAUAGGCUCCAGCCCAAAGUGGAGCUUGAACUCAUGACCCUGAGAUCAGGAGCCAUAUGCUCUACUGACUGAGCCAGCCAGGUGCCCCUCACUCAGUUCUACUUUUAAAGACAUCUCCAUAGUAAAAAAAAAAAAAAUGUUUUACUUCAAAAUUAAAACCAAGUGAGCAAUCAAACAUCCUUUAAAAGAGGGACACCUGGGUUUAGCUUCUGCGUUUGGUCCAGGGCAUGAUCCCACACCCUCGGGAUCGAGUCCCACAUCGGGCUCUCUGCAUGAAGCCUGCUUCUCCUCCCUCUGCCUGUGUCUCUGCCUCUGUGUGUGUGUGUCUCUGGUGAAUACAUAAAUAAAAUCUUUAAAUUAAAAAAAUAUCCUUUAAAAGAUAAAUGAUACCUAAGGCAAGAUUUUCAAAGACAUAAAGCGCUUAACAAAGUAUAGGCGGUGUUCCAAGUUCUUUCUCAUUUAAUCUUCAUAACAUUAUUACAAUUCUGAAACUAUAUCACAUAAUUAUAUUUAUUUUCAAUAAAUUAUAAAAAUUAUUUUUUAAUAGAUGGAGGAAUGAACUUUUAUAAAACUCAAGACGUCUCUGUAACCACAGUGAAUGAUAUUUUCAAUCAAGAGGUUCUGAAGACAAACUUUUUAUUCUCUGUGCCUUCCACUUUAUCUACCUCUCAUCCAGGAAUCCCGGUUACUAAGGGUGAGGCCUUGGGCAGGCAAUUUAACCUCCCCGUGCCUCAGAGUCCUUAUCUGUGCUAAACUCAUCCACUGGAGCGCCUCCUCUGUGCCAGGCACAGUUUCUGGCCAGGGGACAGAGCUGUGAACAAAAGACACGAUCCUGUUCUCAGGAGGCUUUCAGAGAACCCCCGUAAGGCACUGGCCCAAAGGGUAACCCCUCAUUAUAAUGCUAGCCAUUACUAUUUCCCAAACUGCCUUCGUUAUUGUUAUUUUUGUCCUAUUUUCAUUCUAAGGUAAAUCCCACUUGCCUUAUUCUACGUGACACCCAAGUGUUUCUUAGCCAGAGAAGAAAAAGGGCAGAAAAGGGGACAGUUAACUGAUUCAUCAGAAUUUGGCACUGGGGCAGCCCGGGUGGCCCAGCGGUUUAGUGCCUGCCUUCAGCCCAGGGUGUGAUCCUGGAGGCCCGGGAUCGAGUCCCACGUUGCGCUCCCUGCAAGGAGCCUGCUUCUUCUCCCUCUGCCUGUGUCUCUGCCUCUCUCUGUGUGUGUCUCUGUGUCUCUCAUGAACAAAUAAAUAAAUAAAUCUUACAAAAUAAAAUAAAAUAAAAUGUAUCAAAAAAAAAAAAGAGAGAGAGAGAGAACUUGGUACCAGCAAGUGCAUGAACUACGUUCCUCUGGAAAGGGCUGUUGCAGAGCUAUCUGGGUGCGGCCGGCCCUCGGGGCUAAGACAUCCCGCUGGACGAGGUCCCACCACCGACUUCGGGGACAGCGGCCGCCUAGCCGAGCUCCGAUCCUCCCGGGGCCCUCCUCGAUGCCGAGGCAGGUCAGUUCACACCUGGAGGUUACAGCCGACCUGCCGCCCCACAGCUCUGACAGCUGCAAAAUUUGACUGCAGUGCAACCUAAUCCCUCAGGACGCCGGCUUCCAGGCUGCCCUUGCAGGGCCCGUCCUGAGAACAUCUCUGCAUUUAUUCGAAAUCAUUACGUAAUCACGGGCCGCGCUCUCCAAAGUCACUACUGUUACACGGAAAGCAUCGCUCAAGGAGCCCGCCUCCCGGCACAGACUCUAAAUCACCAGCAGCCGAAGAAAGAAUCCGCGAAUCCAACGUAAGCUCGAGAAGUGAAAUAAGAACAGGAACUCUCCGCGGAGCACCUCCUUAUAAACAGCUGAGAUCGCCUCCCCAGCACCUCGCUAAAUCCAAAUAUCUGAGAUAGGCCCCCGUGUCCA